rnacentral:rRNA from 1 species
ACGGAAGGCAGCAGUGGGGAAUAUUGCACAAUGGGGGAAACCCUGAUGCAGCGACGCCGCGUGAGUGAAGAAGUAUUUCGGUAUGUAAAGCUCUAUCAGCAAGGAAGAAAAUGACGGUACUUGACUAAGAGGCCCCGGCUAACUACGUGCCAGCAGCCGCGGUAAUACGUAGGGGGCAAGCGUUAUCCGGAUUUACUGGGUGUAAAGGGAGCGUAGACGGUAAUGCAAGUCAGAAGUGAAAGCCCAAGGCUCAACCAUGGGACUGCUUUUGAAACUGUAAUACUAGAGUGCAGGAGAGGUAAGUGGAAUUCCUAGUGUAGCGGUGAAAUGCGUAGAUAUUAGGAGGAACACCAGUGGCGAAGGCGGCUUACUGGACUGUAACUGACGUUGAGGCUCGAAAGCGUGGGGAGCAAACAGGAUUAGAUACCCUGGUA